rnacentral:rRNA from 1 species
CCUACGGGUGGCUGCAGUAGGGAAUAUUGCUCAAUGGGGGAAACCCUGAAGCAGCAAAGCCGCGUGGAGGAUGAAGGUUUUCGGAUUGUAAAAUCCUUUUGUUAGAGAAGAUAAUGACGGUAUCUAACGAAUAAGCACCGGCUAACUCCGGGCCAGCAGCCGCGGUAAUACGGAGGGUGCAAGCGUUACUCGGAAUCACUGGGCGUAAAGAGAGCGUAGGCGGGAUAGCAAGUCAGAUGUGAAAUCCUAUGGCUUAACCAUAGAACUGCAUUUGAAACUGGUGUUCUAGAGUAUGGGAGAGGUAGGUGGAAUGCUUGGUGUAGGGGUAAAAUGCGUAGAGAUCAAGAGGAAUACUCAUUGCGAAGGCGACCUGCUAGAACAUAACUGACGCUGAUGCGCGAAAGCGUGGGGAGCAAACAGGAUUAGAUACCCGAGUAGUC